ensembl:lncRNA
CCCCCUCCCCCAUCCAUCUCCCCUCGUGAUCUCUCAGCGCCCCCUGCAGGUUCCCCGCCGCCUUCCCCCAUCCAUCUCCCCUCGUGGUCUCUCAGCGCCCCCUGCAGGUUCCUCCCUUCACUCCCCCAUCCAUCUCCCCUCGUGGUCUCUCAGCGUCCCCUGCAGGUUCCUCCCCCACUCCCCCAUCCAUCUCCCCUCUUGGUCUCUCAGCGCCCCCUGUAGGUUCCCCCCCUCACUCCCCCAUCCAUCUCCUCUCAUGGUCUCUCAGCGCCCCCUGCAGGUUCCUCCCCCACUCCCCCAUCCAUCUCCCCUCGUGGUCUCUCAGCGCCCCCUGUAGGUUCCCCCCCUCACUCCCCCAUCCAUCUCCUCUCAUGGUCUCUCAGCGCCCCCUGCAGAUCCCCACCACUCCCCCAUCCAUCUCCCCUCAUGGUCUCUCAGAGCCCCCUGCAGGUUCCCCCCGCUCCCCCAUCCAUCUCCCCUCGUGAUCUCUCAGCGCCCCCUGCAGGUUCCCCGCCGCCUUCCCCCAUGCAUCUCCCCUCGUGGUCGCUCAGCGCCCCCUGCAGGUUCCUCCCUUCACUCCCCCAUCCAUCUCCUCUCAUGGUCUCUCAGCGCCCCCUGCAGAUCCCCACCACUCCCCCAUCCAUCUCCCCUCGUGGUCUCUCAGCGCCCCCUGCAGAUCCCUCCCCCACUCCUCCGUCCAUCUCCCCUCAUGGUCUCUCAGCGCCCCCUGCAGGUUCCCCCCGACUCCCCCGUCCAUCUCCCC